rnacentral:rRNA from 1 species
UUAAGCGACUAAGCGUACACGGUGGAUGCCCUGGCAGUCAGAGGCGAUGAAGGACGUGCUAAUCUGCGAUAAGCGCCGGUAAGGUGAUAUGAACCGUUAUAACCGGCGAUUUCCGAAUGGGGAAACCCAGUGUGACUCGUCACACUAUCAUUAACUGAAUCCAUAGGUUAAUGAGGCGAACCGGGGGAACUGAAACAUCUAAGUACCCCGAGGAAAAGAAAUCAACCGAGAUUCCCCCAGUAGCGGCGAGCGAACGGGGAGGAGCCCAGAGCCUGAAUCAGCAUGUGUGUUAGUGGAAGCGUCUGGAAAGGCGCGCGAUACAGGGUGACAGCCCCGUACACAAAAGCGCAUGUGCUGUGAGCUCGAUGAGUAGGGCGGGACACGUGGUAUCCUGUCUGAAUAUGGGGGGACCAUCCUCCAAGGCUAAAUACUCCUGACUGACCGAUAGUGAACCAGUACCGUGAGGGAAAGGCGAAAAGAACCCCGGCGAGGGGAGUGAAAAAGAACCUGAAACCGUGUACGUACAAGCAGUGGGAGCACCCUUUGGGGUGUGACUGCGUACCUUUUGUAUAAUGGGUCAGCGACUUAUAUUCUGUAGCAAGGUUAACCGAAUAGGGGAGCCGGAGGGAAACCGAGUCUUAACCGGGCGUUAAGUUGCAGGGUAUAGACCCGAAACCCGGUGAUCUAGCCAUGGGCAGGUUGAAGGUUGGGUAACACUAACUGGAGGACCGAACCGACUAAUGUUGAAAAAUUAGCGGAUGACCUGUGGCUGGGGGUGAAAGGCCAAUCAAACCGGGAGAUAGCUGGUUCUCCCCGAAAGCUAUUUAGGUAGCGCCUCGUGAAUUCAUCUCCGGGGGUAGAGCACUGUUUCGGCUAGGGGGCCAUCCCGGCUUACCAACCCGAUGCAAACUGCGAAUACCGGAGAAUGUUAUCACGGGAGACACACGGCGGGUGCUAACGUCCGUCGUGAAGAGGGAAACAACCCAGACCGCCAGCUAAGGUCCCAAAGUCAUGGUUAAGUGGGAAACGAUGUGGGAAGGCCCAGACAGCCAGGAUGUUGGCUUAGAAGCAGCCAUCAUUUAAAGAAAGCGUAAUAGCUCACUGGUCGAGUCGGCCUGCGCGGAAGAUGUAACGGGGCUAAACCAUGCACCGAAGCUGCGGCAGCGACGCUGAUGCGUUGUUGGGUAGGGGAGCGUUCUGUAAGCCUGUGAAGGUGGCCUGUGAGGGUUGCUGGAGGUAUCAGAAGUGCGAAUGCUGACAUAAGUAACGAUAAAGCGGGUGAAAAGCCCGCUCGCCGGAAGACCAAGGGUUCCUGUCCAACGUUAAUCGGGGCAGGGUGAGUCGACCCCUAAGGCGAGGCCGAAAGGCGUAGUCGAUGGGAAACGGGUUAAUAUUCCCGUACUUGGUGUUACUGCGAAGGGGGGACGGAGAAGGCUAUGUUGGCCGGGCGACGGUUGUCCCGGUUUAAGCGUGUAGGUGUGUGUUCCAGGUAAAUCCGGUUCACUUUAACACUGAGGCGUGAUGACGAGGCACUACGGUGCUGAAGCAACAAAUGCCCUGCUUCCAGGAAAAGCCUCUAAGCAUCAGGUAACAUCAAAUCGUACCCCAAACCGACACAGGUGGUCAGGUAGAGAAUACCAAGGCGCUUGAGAGAACUCGGGUGAAGGAACUAGGCAAAAUGGUGCCGUAACUUCGGGAGAAGGCACGCUGACACGUAGGUGAAGUGAUUUACUCAUGGAGCUGAAGUCAGUCGAAGAUACCAGCUGGCUGCAACUGUUUAUUAAAAACACAGCACUGUGCAAACACGAAAGUGGACGUAUACGGUGUGACGCCUGCCCGGUGCCGGAAGGUUAAUUGAUGGGGUCAGCGCAAGCGAAGCUCCUGAUCGAAGCCCCGGUAAACGGCGGCCGUAACUAUAACGGUCCUAAGGUAGCGAAAUUCCUUGUCGGGUAAGUUCCGACCUGCACGAAUGGCGUAAUGAUGGCCAGGCUGUCUCCACCCGAGACUCAGUGAAAUUGAACUCGCUGUGAAGAUGCAGUGUACCCGCGGCAAGACGGAAAGACCCCGUGAACCUUUACUAUAGCUUGACACUGAACAUUGAGCCUUGAUGUGUAGGAUAGGUGGGAGGCUUUGAAGUGUGGACGCCAGUCUGCAUGGAGCCGGCCUUGAAAUACCACCCUUUAAUGUUUGAUGUUCUAACGUGGACCCGUGAUCCGGGUUGCGGACAGUGUCUGGUGGGUAGUUUGACUGGGGCGGUCUCCUCCUAAAGAGUAACGGAGGAGCACGAAGGUUGGCUAAUCCUGGUCGGACAUCAGGAGGUUAGUGCAAUGGCAUAAGCCAGCUUGACUGCGAGCGUGACGGCGCGAGCAGGUGCGAAAGCAGGUCAUAGUGAUCCGGUGGUUCUGAAUGGAAGGGCCAUCGCUCAACGGAUAAAAGGUACUCCGGGGAUAACAGGCUGAUACCGCCCAAGAGUUCAUAUCGACGGCGGUGUUUGGCACCUCGAUGUCGGCUCAUCACAUCCUGGGGCUGAAGUAGGUCCCAAGGGUAUGGCUGUUCGCCAUUUAAAGUGGUACGCGAGCUGGGUUUAGAACGUCGUGAGACAGUUCGGUCCCUAUCUGCCGUGGGCGCUGGAGAACUGAGGGGGGCUGCUCCUAGUACGAGAGGACCGGAGUGGACGCAUCACUGGUGUUCGGGUUGUCAUGCCAAUGGCACUGCCCGGUAGCUAAAUGCGGAAGAGAUAAGUGCUGAAAGCAUCUAAGCACGAAACUUGCCCCGAGAUGAGUUCUCCCUGAGACUUAGAGUCUCCUGAAGGAACGUUGAAGACGACGACGUUGAUAGGCCGGGUGUGUAAGCGCAGCGAUGCGUUGAGCUAACCGGUACUAAUGAACCGUGAGGCUUAACCUU